GACGAGGGGUCCUAGCGUUGUUCGGAAUCAUUGGGCGUAAAGCGUAUGUAGGCGGCUCAAACAGUCAGGUGUGAAAGCCCUGGGCUUAACCUAGGAAGUGCACUUGAUACUAUUGAGCUAGAGUAUUGGAGAGGGCAGUGGAAUUCCUGGUGUAGUGGUGAAAUACGUAGAUAUCAGGAGGAACACCGGUGGCGAAGGCGGCUGCCUGGCCAAAUACUGACGCUGAGAUACGAAAGCGUGGGUAGCAAACAGG
rnacentral:rRNA from 1 species